rnacentral:rRNA from 1 species
UACGAAGGGGGGCUAGCGUUGUUCGGAAUUACUGGGCGUAAAGCGCACGUAGGCGGAUAUUUAAGUCAGGGGUGAAAUCCCGGGGCUCAACUCCAGAACUGCCUUUGAUACUGGCGAUCUUGAGUCCGGGGAGAGGUGAGUGGAACUGCGAGUGUAGAGGUGAAAUUCGUAGAUAUUCGCAAGAACACCAGUGGCGAAGGCGGCUCACUGGCCCGGUACUGACGCUGAGGUGCGGAAAGCGUGGGGAGCAAACAGGG